NUGCUGAGAGCCACGGCCGAGUCUGUAUGGCCCCUGGCAUUUUGCCAACAGUAUUGAUUGACAGGCGAGGCAUUACUAUCCGCCUCUGCCACAACUUUUGAGUUCUUGCACUAUUUUGGAGUUCUCGUGGGGAUUUCCGGGGAUUCCCCGAGAGUUCCCAUUGGUUGGGGAAGUGCAGGAGGAGGGAUUUCCGGGAGAGAUAUUUCCGG
rnacentral:lncRNA from 1 species